AUUGAAGGCUGAAAUUCGCCUUCAUGAAGCCGGAAUUGCUAGUAAUCGUAGGUCAGCAUACUACGGUGAAUACGUUCCCGGGCCUUGUACACACCGCCCGUCAAACCAUGAGAGUUGGCAACACCCGAAGUCGGUAGUCUAACCGCAAGGAGGACGCCGCCGAAGGUGGGGUUGAUGAUUAGGGUUAAGUCGUAACAAGGUACC
rnacentral:rRNA from 1 species